UACAGAGGUCUCGAGCGUUAGGCGGAAUCACUGGGCUUAAAGCGUGUGUAGGCGGAUCGUUAAGUGCCUUGUGAAAUCCCACGGCUCAACCGUGGAACUGCUUGGCAUACUGGCGGUCUUGAGCAACCUAGGGGCGAGCGGAACAAAUGGUGGAGCGGUGAAAUGCGUAGAUAUCAUUUGGAACGCCAAUGGUGAAAACAGCUCGCUGGGGGUUUGCUGACGCUAAGACACGAAAGCCAGGGGAGCAAACGGG
rnacentral:rRNA from 1 species